GGGAUUGCCCCAGUAACGGCGAGUGAAGCGGCAACAGCUCAAAUUUGAAAUCUGGCCCUUACGGGUCCGAGUUGUAAUUUGUAGAGGAUGCUUUUGGCAAGGCGCCGCCCGAGUUCCCUGGAACGGGACGCCACAGAGGGUGAGAGCCCCGUCUGGCUGGCCGCCGAGCCUCUGUAAAGCUCCUUCGACGAGUCGAGUAGUUUGGGAAUGCUGCUCAAAAUGGGAGGUAUAUGUCUUCUAAAGCUAAAUAUUGGCCAGAGACCGAUAGCGCACAAGUAGAGUGAUCGAAAGAUGAAAAGCACCUUGAAAAGAGGGUUAAAUAGUACGUGAAAUUGUUGAAAGGGAAGCGCUUGUGACCAGACUUGGGCGCGGCGGAUCAUCCGGGGUUCUCCCCGGUGCACUUCGCCGCGUCCAGGCCAGCAUCAGUUCGUCGCGGGGGAAAAAGGCUUCGGGAACGUGGCUCCCUCGGGAGUGUUAUAGCCCGUUGCGUAAUACCCUGCGGUGGACUGAGGACCGCGCAUCUGCAAGGAUGCUGGCGUAAUGGUCACCAGCGACCCGUCUUGAAACACGGACCAAGGAGUCGUCUUCGUAUGCGAGUGUUCGGGUGUCAAACCCCUACGCGUAAUGAAAGUGAACGCAGGUGAGAGCUUCGGCGCAUCAUCGACCGAUCCUGAUGUUCUCGGAUGGAUUUGAGUAAGAGCAUACGGGGCCGGACCCGAAAGAAGGUGAACUAUGCCUGUAUAGGGUGAAGCCAGAGGAAACUCUGGUGGAGGCUCGCAGCGGUUCUGACGUGCAAAUCGAUCGUCAAAUAUGGGCAUGGGGGCGAAAGACUAAUCGAACCUUCUAGUAGCUGGUUUCCGCCG
rnacentral:rRNA from 1 species